AACGUAGGUUCCGAGCGUUAUCCGGAUUUACUGGGCGUAAAGCGCGUUCAGGCGGUUUGGCAAGUCGGGCAUGAAAUCUCUCGGCUCAACCGGGAGAGGUUGUCCGAUACUGCUGGACUUGAGGGCAGUAGAGGGUGGUGGAAUUCCGGGUGGUAGUGGUGAAAUGCGUAGAUAUCCGGAGGAACACCAGUGGCGGAAAGCGGCCACCUGGACUGCACCUGGACGCUGGACACGCGAAAGCUAGGGGAGCGAACGGGG
rnacentral:rRNA from 1 species